rnacentral:rRNA from 1 species
UGGUGGAGUGAUUUGUCUGGUUAAUUCCGAUAACGAACGAGACCUUAACCUGCUAAAUAGAGCUGCGAACCUGCGUUCGUACUGGCUCUUCUUAGAGGGACUGACUACGUUUAGUGGUCGGAAGUUUGAGGCAAUAACA